rnacentral:lncRNA from 1 species
GGCUGGCUGUCCUGACCCACUCUGGACCCUGCUGGAUGUCACUUUUGUCACAGGUCCAUGUGCAUCAUCAGAGCCUAAUCUGGUCUGUGCAGCAUGACCUCCUGCUCUAAGAUGGUGACCAGACCUGCUUCCUGCCUAGCCUCAGCCCAGUGAACCACCAUUGAGGGCGUUUAAGAUAAUGUUCCAGCCCCGCCUUCCUGUUCAGUUUGGUUUCUCUUUGAGCAGCCCAUGCAACUGUAUUUAUUUUUGAUGACAGCACUCCCUCUACAGAAGUUUUUAUUCUGCCUAAUCAUUUCACUGGUGGCUGAAGG